rnacentral:rRNA from 1 species
UACAGAGGUCCCAAGCGUUGUUCGGAUUCACUGGGCGUAAAGCGUGCGCAGGCGGUGAUGUAAGACAGAUGUGAAAUCCCCCGGGCUCAACCUGGGAACUGCAUUUGUGACUGCAUCGCUGGAGUGCGGCAGAGGGGGAUGGAAUUCCGCGUGUAGCAGUGAAAUGCGUAGAUAUGCGGAGGAACACCGAUGGCGAAGGCAAUCCCCUGGGCCUGCACUGACGCUCAUGCACGAAAGCGUGGGGAGCAA